rnacentral:rRNA from 1 species
AGUGAACGCUGGCGGUAGGCCUAACACAUGCAAGUCGAACGGCAGCACAGUAAGAGCUUGCUCUUACGGGUGGCGAGUGGCGGACGGGUGAGGAAUACAUCGGAAUCUACUUUUUCGUGGGGGAUAACGUAGGGAAACUUACGCUAAUACCGCAUACGACCUACGGGUGAAAGCAGGGGAUCUUCGGACCUUGCGCGAUUGAAUGAGCCGAUGUCGGAUUAGCUAGUUGGCGGGGUAAAGGCCCACCAAGGCGACGAUCCGUAGCUGACCUGAGAGGAUGAGAGGGAGCACGGGAACUGAGAGACGGUCCAGACGCCUACGGGGGGCAGCAGUAGGGAAUGUGCCGCAAGGGGCGGAAGCCUGAAGGAGCAAAGCAGAGUGAGUGAUGAAGGUCUUCGGAUAGUAAAACUCUGUUAUGAGGGAAGAACAUAUGUGUAAGUAACUGUGCACAUCUUGACGGUACCUAAUCAGAAAGCCACGGCUAACUACGUG